GCUUAAAUCAUUUUGGAUCGAGAAAUCCAGUUCCAAAAAAAUGGAAGGGCAUUCAAUUGAAAAGUUGUCCUGACAACGACGACCAAGACAACAACAACCACAAAAACAUUAUUCAUAACGAAAGCGUGUUGACCGUCCUAUAGUGGGUGACUUUCUUCAACAAACCUUUAACCUGUUCUCUUUUGAUGAUUCCAUUCCCAACUUCGAAGAAAUUGUAAAAGAAAACCAAAUGUUAAAGUACCAUGCAACUACCUUCAAGAUUAAAGGAAAAGUCAUACGUUCGUGUGGAAGAAGGAAAAGUCAUACGUUCGUGUGGAAGAAGUUGGGUAUUUGCCUCAUCAGAUUAAAUGAAAAGUCAUACGUUCGUGUGGAAGAAGUUGGGUAUUUGCCCAACAGUUGCUCUUCAUUAGAUUAAUGUGACUUUUCCAACUUUGCUAAAAGACAUGAUCCAUGUCUGACUAGUGCAUAAUUUACUAAGGUCUCGUUUGACAGCUCGGACUGUACUGACUAUUUCUGUCGGAUAGGAUAAAUAGUCACCGGAUAGUACUGACUAAAUUAGUCGGACGUUUGGUGCAGUAUCGGACUAAUGACCGUAUUAUUUAUACGGUGUUUGGUUUUAUACCGGAUAUGAUAAAAAAAAAAAUGAUAGAAUAAUCAAAAAAGGGCAGUGCCUUUAAUUUGUCAUUCAUGUUUGGCAUAAAACCCUUUUUGGUUGAUCUUCUGCAGACAACAUGGAUCCGUUAAGGGUGUGUUUUACGACAAAUCGAGGCACUGUGAAGGUGCGGCUUCAAACGGAGAAGAAGGUCCAGCCACGUCGGCGAGGAUUGACAGAGCAUUUGGCUCUUGAAGUUUUCCGGGAAUCGAUGAGAUCUGCUCCAGAUUCCGGCGAAUAGGCGAUUGCAGGUCGUUGGGUUUCAAAUCCUGUUAACCAAAUCUAUUAAUUGGAUUUCCAACCCUCAGUAAUUUCAUAGAAUUUUAUAGAAAUUAUGGAGUUCUAAAACUUAAUUUGAAGGGAUCUAUAACUUCCCCAAUAAUUUAGGGCGGAGCAGAGCAAAGUAGAAGAAGAACGACGAUGGCUGAACGAUGCGAGAGAGAGAAAGGAACUGAGCAGAGCAAAGUAGAAGCAGAACGAUGGCGGCUAGACGGCGACGGCUGGACGACGUCUGAACGAUGGCUGAACGACGAACGACGAACGACGGUGGCUGAACGAUGCGAGAGAGAGAGAAAGGAACGCGACGAGUAAGGGACAGAGAGGGAGAGAGGGAGAGAGGGAGAGAGCGAUCGUUGUUUCCCACCCGACUAAUAAUCCUUACGUUUUAGGGAGGAUAAAUUAACAGGUGUGUACCGUAUAAAUCAUGUGGGGCCGGUAUAAUUAAUCCGGUUGCUAUUUAGUAUGGAACAACGCCAAACACUCGGGUCCGUAUUAUUUAUCCUAUCCGAUGCUUUAUACGGGCUGCCAAACAGGGCCUAACAGACAUAGCCUUUGGUAAUUGAUGCUUUACAUCUGACAUGCGUAUUGAGCAUAUUGCUGUAAUAUUAAUUCAGUUGUAUCCCAUGGCGAAAAGGUAUACCUAAAACCAAAUGAUGUAUCCCAUGCCGAGAAGGCAUAUCCAAAACCAAAGGAUAUGUCUAACGGGUGCAAUCUCCCCUAUAUAUUGGUAAAUUGGUAGAGAGAAAUUCAUUGAAAAAUUUGUUGUCUACACAAUUUCUUUGCUCUCUCUUCUCUCCAUCACACUCAUACAAUUUCUUUCUAGUUAUUUCUAAGGGAAUACAAUUCGGUUUUGCUAAUCGAAUAUUUCAUAUUUUGUUGUAUCCUGGAAAUGAUUUGCCAAGAACUCUAGCAAAUUCAUUCGAGUGGGGGUAAAUAACACUUUAAGGAAACAAUUCAAGUUGUACCUCAAAGUCAUCGUUCAAUUUAUUCUCUAUAUUUCUACAUUUA